UGUAUAGGGACACCUCCCACUAUCUCAGAUUGGCUCCAAGCUUUGUCUAACCUGGCCUUGGAUACUUCCAGGGAUGGGGUAGCCACAGCUUCUUUGGGCAACCCAUGCCAGGACCUCCCCACCUUCACAGGGAGCAAUUUCUUCCCAAUAUCCAAUCUAAAUCUGCUCUCUGCCCAUUUGAAGCCGUUCCCCCUUGUUCUGUCACUCCAUGCCCCUGCCAAAAGCCCUUCUCCAGCUUUCUUGUAGCUGCUUAGCUGCAGUGACUUCACAUGUAUAUGCAUCUGAUGGGGUUUUGUCAUUAUUUUUUACUAUUCUCCUUUACCUUUCCAAAGAGUAAACUACACCUGGAGCUGAGUUAUCACAGAAGGGUUUGGGCUGGUUCUCUAAAGGUGGGUUAGCCCUGACCCUCGUUUAGAGGACUGGCUUCAGCUGGGUGUGGGAAUGCUGGGUAAGGUGCCAGGUGUUUCUCCUUUCCCAUCAGGAGAGAGCAGCUCCCUGAUUUCUCUGAUGGUGGCUGGAGGAAGAUGGUCACCCAUUCUGGGGGAUUUUCUUUGUACUCCUGUGAGGGGAAGCUUUCAGGAAUUUGCUGUGGAAUUUGGAGUGCUUGAGCCUUGGUGGGAACGAGCAGAUUUUCCUGUGAGCAGUCUACAAAAGAGUCACCUGUCAUUGCAAAAGGAGGAGGAAGAUAGGAAAGAGCAACUUUUGGCUUAGGUCGUGUCCUUGAGGUGUGGCUGUGGCUGUGACAAGCAAGCAAGCUGGGCACAGAGGAACUGUGACUCUGGUGGCACCACUGAGGUCCCUGAGUGGGCACCGUCCCUCAUCCCGCCGGGCCAGCAGUAAAAGCGAGUGAGCCACCGUUGCUACAUUUAACACUUGUACAUUUUUAUUUAGUUAAAUCAGCCAUUGUACACAUUGCAGCUAUGUAUUGUUAGUGUUGUAUCUUUUUAAUUUUUAACUAAUACAUGCCCUCAUAGAUAUAUUCAAUUAGUGUUAUCACCAUGGGAACAAGAUGCUGAUUCGUCAACUUAAAAUUCACUUCUUCUCACAGUAUUCAAGUUCUCUGAUAACACAGCAAAAAAUCAAAAUAAGAGGUGAAUAACCAUUAUGCUGUUACACAGAACAUCAUCUGCACCGCAAAUAACACAACAGAAAUGCAUUUCUUGAGAGCCCCAUCCUUGAAGACCCUCCUGUGCUGUCUCGGACAGUCAGGAAGCCACGAUGCGCUGUGAGAUGUUUCAUCAGGGGUCUCAUUCGAUUUGGCUGCCAAAACACUUUUUUCUUUAAGUUUCUUUUC